rnacentral:rRNA from 1 species
GGGUGAGUAACACGUGGGCAAUCUGCCCUUCACUCUGGGACAAGCCCUGGAAACGGGGUCUAAUACCGGAUACCACCUUCACUGGCAUCUGUGAAGGUUGAAAGCUCCGGCGGUGAAGGAUGAGCCCGCGGCCUAUCAGCUUGUUGGUGAGGUAAUGGCUCACCAAGGCGACGACGGGUAGCCGGCCUGAGAGGGCGACCGGCCACACUGGGACUGAGACACGGCCCAGACUCCUACGGGAGGCAGCAGUGGGGAAUAUUGCACAAUGGGCGAAAGCCUGAUGCAGCGACGCCGCGUGAGGGAUGACGGCCUUCGGGUUGUAAACCUCUUUCAGCAGGGAAGAAGCGAAAGUGACGGUACCUGCAGAAGAAGCGCCGGCUAACUACGUGCCAGCAGCCGCGGUAAUACGUAGGGCGCAAGCGUUGUCCGGAAUUAUUGGGCGUAAAGAGCUCGUAGGCGGCUUGUCACGUCGGGUGUGAAAGCCCGGGGCUUAACCCCGGGUCUGCAUUCGAUACGGGCUAGCUAGAGUGUGGUAGGGGAGAUCGGAAUUCCUGGUGUAGCGGUGAAAUGCGCAGAUAUCAGGAGGAACACCGGUGGCGAAGGCGGAUCUCUGGGCCAUUACUGACGCUGAGGAGCGAAAGCGUGGGGAGCGAACAGGAUUAGAUACCCUGGUAGUCCACGCC